UGAGGAAUUUUGGACAAUGGGGGAAACCCUGAUCCAGCGACGCCGCGUGGAGGACGAAGGUCUUCGGAUUGUAAACUCCUUUUGUCUGGGAAUAAAAAAUCUAUAGAAAUAUAGAGACUGAAUGUACCGGAUGAAUAAGCCACGGCUAACUUCGUGCCAGCAGCCGCGGUAAUACGAAGGUGGCAAGCGUUACUCGGAAUUACUAGGCGUAAAGCGCAGGUAGGUGGUUGUGUAAGUCUGCUGUGAAAGCUCCCGGCUUAACUGGGAGAGGUCAGCGGAUACUGCAUAGCUAGAGUGUGGGAGAGGGUACUGGAAUUCCCGGUGUAGCGGUGAAAUGCGCAGAGAUCGGGAGGAACACCUAAGGCGAAAGCAGGUACCUGGACCAUUACUGACACUGAGCUGCGAAAGCUAGGGGAGCAAACAG
rnacentral:rRNA from 1 species